GUGGGGGAAUGGGGGCUCAAUGUGUGGGGCAAUGGGGUGUGGGGUGGGACCCCAUUGGGGGACCCCAUAAACUUUGGGGUUCACCAUAUUGGGGGCUCAAUGUGUGGGGCAGUGGGAUGUGGGGUGGGACCCCAUUGGGAUCCCAUUGGGGGAAUGGGGGCCCAAUGUGUGGGGCAAUGGGGUGUGGGGUGGGACCCCAUUGGGGGACCCCAUAAGGUUUGGGGUUCACCAUAUUGGGGGCUCAAUGUGUGGGGCAGUGGGAUGUGGGGUGGGACCCCAUUGGGAUCCCAUGGGAGGGGAAUGGGGGAUCAAUGUGUGGGGCAAUGGAGUGUGGGGUGGGACCCCAAUGGGAUCCCAUUGGGGGAAUGGGGGCCCAAUGUGUGGGGCAAUGGGGUGUGGGGUGGGACCCCAUUGGGGGACCCUAUAAAGGGUGGGGUUCUCCAUAUUGGGGUCCCAUGGGGAGGGGAAUGGGGGCUCAAUGUGUGGGGCAGUGGGGUGUGGGGUGGGACCCCAUUGGGGGACCCCAUAAGGUUUGGAGUUCUCCAUCAGUGGGGUCCCAGCAGAGGAAUGGGGACCCCAAACUGUGGGGCAAUGGGAUGUGGGGUGGGACCCCAUUGGGAUCCCAUUGGGGGAGUGGGGGCGAAAUGUGUGGGGCAAUGGGGUGUGGGGUGGGACCCCAUUGGGGGACCCCAUAAGGUUUGGGGUUCUCCAUAUGGAGGUCCCAUUGGGAGGGGAAUGGGGACCCCAAUGUGUGGGGAAAUGGGGUGUGGGGUGGGACCCCACUGGGGGACCCCAUAAACUUUGGGUCCUCUAUUAGUGGGAUUUUGGGGUCCCCCAUUAUAGGGCUAUGGGGUGACCCCA
rnacentral:lncRNA from 1 species